rnacentral:rRNA from 1 species
UACGAACGGUCCAAACGUUAUUCGGAAUCACUGGGCUUAAAGCGUCCGUAGGCGGCUCGGAAAGUAGGGUGUGAAAUCCCACGGCUCAACCGUGGAAUUGCGCUCUAAACUAUCGAGCUAGAGGGAGAUAGAGGUGAGCGGAACUGAUGGUGGAGCGGUGAAAUGCGUUGAUAUCAUCAGGAACACCGGAGGCGAAGGCGGCUCACUGGGUCUUUUCUGACGCUGAGGAACGAAAGCCAGGGGAGCGAACGGG